GUAUACAUUUUCUUUCGCAUCUCACGCUCUGUUUCCCCUAAAAAGGAAAGUAAAGAGAGAAUGAAAAAAGUAAGAGCAGCCAUGGAAGAAUUGAUCAAUGAACUUAAAGAAGAAGUAAAAGCAGUUGUGGAAGAAGAGAUCGGUGAACUUGCUAUCAAAGAGGAACAAACAGAAAUAAUAAGGGAACUAAGGGAUCUUCCACCAGCUCACUACAUAUUCAAGAUUGAAAACUUCUCUUACCUUUCUAAUGCAAAGGUAGAAAGCUAUGAAUCCAGUGAUUUUGAAGUUGGUGGAUACAAAUGGAGGUUGUCUCUUUACCCUAAAGGAAACAAGAAAGUAAAUGACAAGAAUGAACAUGUUUCUCUGUAUUUAGUACUAGCUGAAUCAAAUGCAUUCCCCUUGCAUAAAGAGGUUAAUGUGUACUUCAAGUUGUUUGUUUAUAAUCAAAUUCAGGAUAAGUAUUUGGUUGUUCAAGAUGCAAAGGGCAAGGCAAGGCGUUUUCGUGGAGCGAAAACAGAAUGGGGUUUUGACAAAUUAGUUUCUCUCAAUGCUUUUAAUGAAGCCUCAAAUGGAUACCUUGUUGAUGAUUGUUGCAUACUUGGUGCUGAGAUUUUCGUUAUAGAACGUACUGGUAAAGGUGAAUGCGUGUCCAUUGUGAAGGAGCUUGCUAAUAGCAAUGCCUACACUUGGAAAAUUCAAAAAUUUUCAGAUUGGAACCAAGAAUACUAUAAAUCUCAGGUGUUUGUUAUUGGUGGAUACAGAUGGAGUUUGUUGCUUUACCCCAAUGGGAAUUCAGAAGAGAAAGGCAAAUGCUUGUCCAUGUUUUUACAGUUGGAGGAUUCAAAACCUUUCGACUCCGGACAAAAGCUCUAUACUGAAUUCAUCCUGCGUGUAAGGGAUCAACUUCUUGGGGUUCAUCAUGAGCAAAAAGGAAAUAAUAAAUACUGCACUUCUGCCAUUAAUUGGGGUUUCCGAAGGCUUAUACUUCUCAGCGAUCUCAAUGAUGCAUCAAAGGGAUUCAUUCUUGAUAAUGCUGUGAUUAUUGAAGUCCAAAUUCCUUUGAUGACAGUGGUCAAGGACUUCUCUUAAAGUUAAAAUGGUACCAGCUCUUUGAGCUUGGAGUAUGAAUAGAAUUGCAAAUUAUGUAAACUUGGGAAGACUUACAAUUAGCAGCACUUAAAUGUUUCUGUAAUGAUCAUGUUUUCUGCUUGUUCAAUUGGAAGUACUUAAAGUGAUAAUGUUUUCUGCAGUUAAA
rnacentral:misc_RNA from 1 species